rnacentral:rRNA from 1 species
GGUAGGCCUAACACAUGCAAGUCGAACGGCAGCACAGAGGAGCUUGCUCCUUGGGUGGCGAGUGGCGGACGGGUGAGGAAUACAUCGGAAUCUACUCUGUCGUGGGGGAUAACGUAGGGAAACUUACGCUAAUACCGCAUACGACCUACGGGUGAAAGCAGGGGAUCUUCGGACCUUGCGCGAUUGAAUGAGCCGAUGUCGGAUUAGCUAGUUGGCGGGGUAAAGGCCCACCAAGGCGACGAUCCGUAGCUGGUCUGAGAGGAUGAUCAGCCACACUGGAACUGAGACACGGUCCAGACUCCUACGGGAGGCAGCAGUGGGGAAUAUUGGACAAUGGGCGCAAGCCUGAUCCAGCCAUACCGCGUGGGUGAAGACGGCCUUCGGGUUGUAAAGCCCUUUUGUUGGGAAAGAAAUCCAGCCGGCUAAUACCUGGUUGGGAUGACGGUACCCAAAGAAUAAGCACCGGCUAACUUCGUGCCAGCAGCCGCGGUAAUACGAAGGGUGCAAGCGUUACUCGGAAUUACUGGGCGUAAAGCGUGCGUAGGUGGUUAUUUAAGUCCGUUGUGAAAGCCCUGGGCUCAACCUGGGAACUGCAGUGGAUACUGGAUGACUAGAAUGUGGUAGAGGGUAGCGGAAUUCCUGGUGUAGCAGUGAAAUGCGUAGAGAUCAGGAGGAACAUCCAUGGCGAAGGCAGCUACCUGGACCAACAUUGACACUGAGGCACGAAAGCGUGGGGAGCAAACAGGAUUUAGAUACCCUGGUAGUCCACGCCCUAAACGAUGCGAACUGGAUGUUGGGUGCAAUUUUGGCACGCAGUAUCGAAGCUAACGCGUUAAGUUCGCCGCGUGGGGAGUACGGUCGCAAGAGUGAAACUCAAUGGAAUUGACGGGGGCCCGCACAAGCGGUGGAGUAUGUGGUUUAAUUAGAUGCAACGAGAAGAACCUUAACUGGCCUUGACAUGUCGAGAACUUUCCAGAGAUGGAUUGGUGCUUUCGGGAACUCGAACACAGGUGGUGCAUGGCUGUUGUCAGCUCGUGUCGUGAGAUGUUGGGUUAAGUCCCGCAACGAGCGCAACCCUUGUCUUUAGUUGCCAGCAUGUAAUGGUGGGAACUAUAAGGAGACCGCCGGUGACAAACCGGAGGAAGGUGGGGAUGAUGUCAAGUCAUCAUGGCCCUUACGGCCAGGGCUACACACGUACUACAAUGGUAGGGACAGAGGGGUGCAAGCCGGAGACGGUAAGCCAAUCCCAGAAACCCUAUCUCAGUCCGGAUUGGAGUCUGCAACUCGACUCCAUGAAGUGGGAAUCGAUAGUAAUCGCAGAUCAGCAUUGCUGCGGUGAAUAUGUUCCCGGGCCUUGUACACACCGCCCGUCACACCAUGGGAGUUUGUUGCACCAGAAGCAGGUAGCUUAACCUUAGGGAGGGCGCUUGCCACGGUGUGGCCGAUGACUGGGGUGAAGUCAUAAC